rnacentral:lncRNA from 9 species
UCUUUAAAUAUUUCUAAAACAAAUUCUAUUUCUCCCAUAAUUAAAUUCAAUAGUAAACACACAUUCCUUUAUUGAUAAUGUUGUAAAUGUUUGAUUUUUACUAAUAUUUUAUCAAGAUUUAUAUUUUAAAGAAUUCACUCUGUUGAUUAAAUUAAAAUAAAUAUGAGUCAAUGCAUACUGCGAAAAUAUGUGUGGAAGAGCAUUGUAUUAAAAAUAAAAUCCUUUUCUGGGUUCCCCAGUCUCAUUCUCAGCAUUACCCAUUCUUGACACUGACUUACUCAUUUUCCAGACUUUCCUUACAUACAUGCAAACACACACAGACACAUCCACACACUUCCCUCCCACACACACAUAGCAGGGAUCAUAUGCAUGCACAGUUCUCCUACCUUUUUUUUUUUUUUUUUUUUUUGUCUUUUUACCAUUUCUUGGGCCACUCCCGUGGCAUAUGGAGGUUCCCAGGUUAGGGGUCCAAUCGGAGCUGUUGCCACCAGCCUACGCCAGAGCCACAGCAAUGCGGGAUCCGAGCCGCGUCUGCAACCUACACCACAGCUCACGGCAGUGCUGGAUCCUUAACCCACUGAGCAAGGCCAGGGAUUGAACCUGCAACCUCAUGGUUCCUAGUCAGAUUUGUUAACCACUGAGCCACGAUGGGAAUUCCUCUUCUACCUUCUUUGUUCACUGAGAAAUAGUUCUUGAUCAUUUUCCCCUGUCAAAUAUAGUUCAUUCUGUAUAAUAAACUCAUAUUAUCAUAAUUCAUUUAGACAGAUUCCUCUUGGGUAUGAGACAUGAUAACUUGGUUUGGGAAAGUCCAUGCAUGUGUAGAAUGCAGGGCUCUUCACCAUGAGCUGUUUUUCCUAAACAUACUAGUUUUAGAAUGGGGGUCUAGAACUUAGUUCUCUUGAAGCUCAUAAUUCUGUUAUUAACUAGAUAAUACUGUUUAACUGGGUCACCAUGCUGUAAGUAGAAAAAAAAUAAUGUAUUGGGGAAAUUUAAAAAAAAUACUGUUCAAUAUGGUUUACUAUGGUGUAAGCUUUUCACUGUUUUCUAAGAUCCCCGAGAGCAAAGUCCAGACUGUGCUCUCUUCGGAUCCUUCUUAUUUACCAAACACAGGGCUCGGCACUUAGUUUUCACUUGAUAAAUGUUUUGUUGAAUCAAUGGAUAUUGGUGACAAUGCAAAAUGACUACACUUUUACUAUUCUUCUGAAAUAAAAGCUAAACCAUUUCCUAAAAUGAAAGAACAAAAACCCGAACCCAGCAACCUAUGUAUGUGGUGGUUCAAGGUCAGAGCCGGUCCCUCCGUGUGGAAUCCCUUCUCCAGAACUCUGCCCCAUGGGAUCAGAAGAAGCAGUGGAGUCACUGAGAAGAACAUGAUGCACAGUGUAAGGCUGCCUGUGAAGAGACAUCAGGGGAGAGGCCAGCAGAGCUGGACACCAGGAUGGGCACACCAUUCCAGCUGUCACCGCCCAGGGGAUGGCCCUGCCCCCACAGAGCAGCUCUCCCUGCAACUAUGAAGACUCGUUGGAGGAGGCUCCCUAUGAUCUUACAGUGCGAGAAUAAUUUCAACUGAAGGGAGCUUCAAAAGGACUAGCUGCAGAAGCCUUCUUUAACAAGGAAUGAAAGGUCUGAAAUCUUUGAAUUUCACCAAACGCUAUCGAAGAGGUUAUGAUAAUUAUCUACAAGUACUUAGCGCCAAGAUGAGGCAAGAAUGUCUUAAGGUAUUUUAUGGAAGUAUGAGAAAGUCUUGGCAGGUAGGAAGUAGUUAAAUAAAAUUGCAAAAAAUUACAUUUCAGCGGGACAUCUAGGAAUAUCUCCCUUAUGUGUCAAACAGGAGUUCUGAAAGAUAUGCUUGAGCCAUUUAAAGUCAAACUGGGCCAAUUAUUUAAGGACAUAAGAGAAGAAAUCAUUUUAAAUGGGGGAGAGGGUUUAGGAAGGGAAGCGAGGAGACAGCUAGUUUAAUUAGUCACAUUUUCUCCUGAUGCUUUUUUUUUUUUUUUUUUUUUUGGGCCACGCCUGUGGCAUAUGGAGGUCCCCAGGCUAGGGGUCUAAUUGGAGCCACAGCUGCUGGCCAUGGCCACAGCCACAGCCACAGCAACAUGGGAUCAGAGCCGCAUCUGCAACCCACACCACAGCUCAUGGCAAUGCUGGAUCCUUAACCCACUAAGCGAGGCCAGGGAUCAAACCCACAACCUCGUGGUUCCUAGUCUGACUCGUUUCUGCUGCGACACGAUGGGAAUACCCUCCUGAUGCUUUGAAGGGUUGUAUACACCUCACUUCCAGCUCUAGCUGGGAAAGACAGAUUUCGAGAUUCCAGUGACUCAGAAAAGCACUAUCACCAAGAGAUCAGUAAGCUUGGUGUUAUUUACCUACCGAAUUUACUCUUUAAAAUGUGUUUGGUCAGCUGUGCUUGGCUUCUGUGACUGGCUGUAUUUGUCCAAAGGCUAAUUAGCUCAGAGGGUAGAAAGAUCAGUGAGUUAAUCCAUAAACUUGAGUGACUGAUGAAAUCUAACUGCCAACUGGUACCACAGCAGAUACUUUUUCUUUAAAGGAUUAAUGAGGCAUGCCGGCUCUUCUCAAAUAUUAGCCUUUCCAAGAAUAAGAUGGGAUGAAACAAGAGAAAAGACAGUCAGAGAGUUUUUUCCAAAAACUCUCUGCAAACAUUUGUAUGGAAUUUUACAACUAAAACUUCCAGAAUUCCAGAGCAGCAUGUGGGUAGUACCCGCUAGGUGAUUCACGGGUCUGGGGUGGUCUUAGAUAAAAGUUGUUCUCUUGAGUCCUUCGUAACAAAUGAACAUUUCAUUGUCGAGUACUCACCAUGGGCCGAACGCUUAGCAUUUUACAUGUUGUUAAUUCACUUGGUUCUCACAAUAACCUAACAAGGCAGGCAUGAUUAUUCUUUAAUUUAACAAGUGAGACCAUUCAGAUUCGGUCCCCGAGCUCACACAGCGGGUAGGAUUUAAACCCCAAAAGCUCUGGCUCCAGAGGUUUGGUAGGUUUUUGUAAAAAAUAUUUUGUUUAUAUUUUUGAAAAUUAACAUUUUUUAUUAAAGUAUAGUUGGUUUAUAAUGUUUCUUCAAUUUCUGUUGUGCAGCGAAGGGACUCAAUCCCAUAAAUUCCUUGUGCUGUACAGUAGAGCCCCAUUGCCUAUCCAUUCCAGAUGUAACAGUCUGCAUCCCCAAACCCCAAACUGCCCGUCCACCCCACUCCCCUCUCCCCCCGGAACCACACGUCUGCUCCCUUUGGCCAUGAUCAAACAUGUUUCUGUUUUGUAGACAGGAUCAUCUGUGCCAUAUGUUAGAUUACACAAAUGCGUUUUGAUCUUAACCGCUAUGCUGAACUGCUCUAAGGGAAAGGAAAGAGUUUGGGUCCAAGAUCAAAGUUUUCCUGGCUCCAGUUCUCCUUUAGAUGUACUCUGAUUACAGCUUGUGUACGGAUGGACCAUGUCAUGCAGCUAUCGUAAAGAUAAAAAAUCACUGGGCUUCGGAGAGUCUAUUAAAAGAAUCUAUGCUUUUGAGUGCACUGCAUUAGUUUGCUAAGGCUGCUGUAAGAAAGUACCACAGACUAGGUAGGUGGCUUAAAUGACAGAAAUGUAUUGUCUCACAGUGUGGAAGGUCAAGUCUGAAAUCAAGGUGUCAGCAGGGCUGGGUCCUCCUGAGGGCUGUGGGGCACAGAUCUACGCCAAGCCUCUCUUUGGUUUGUAGAUGGCUGUCUUUCCCUAUGUCUUUCUACAUUGUCUUAUCUCUAUGUCCGAUUUUCCCCCCUUUUAUAAGGACACCAGUCAUCUCGAAUUAAGGCCCAUUUUAAUGACCUCACUGUACCUGGAUUAUCUCUGUAAAGACCCUAUCUCCAUAUAAGGCCACGUUCUGAGGUGCUGAUAGUUACAACUAUCAUCUUUUUUGAAACGACACAAGUCAACCCAUAACACACAUCAAGGUUGCAGGCAGGUUUCAACUCCCACUUGUGUGGUACAACAUAUAGUCAGUACAGCUGGAGCACAGCACAGGCUCCCAUCAAUUCUGAAAUGCCCAGCCUUCUGCUUUCUCAAAGGCACUGUUGGGUAUUUUUCCUCCUAGUUUCUGAUGUAGGGACUAGUGAAGGAGUUGUCUGAUCUGUAGGACUAAGUCCAGACAUUUCAGAAACUACUCUUUGACACUGUCCUGUUUGAGUCCCCCAUUGCCAUCAGCUACCCCUUGAGGUUGUAGAAUGGCUUAUUAAGAGGUGGGGUACUUACAUGGGGCUCAGUCUGCUCCAUGAGAAAGAACAAACUUCAAUCCAUCAUAGGAUGCCCUUGGACUAUGGAAAGCCAUAUCCCUGAUCCUGUCUUCUAGAGUAGUGGUCCCCUAAUUCUCUAUUUUUAAAAUCUAUAUGCCCCUUUCCACAUUUUUUAAGUUGACUUUUGAAAUAUUUUAUCAAAGUUGAAAUAGUUGCAAAGAAUUCAGUUUUCAGUGUAUUAUAAUCAUGAUGUUUAAAAAAUAAGACUGUCGAUCGCUUUUAAAAAUGCAUCCUUAGGGAGUUCCCAUUGUGGCACAGCGGAAAAGGAUCUGACUAGUAUCCA